rnacentral:tRNA from 1 species
AGGGACUUAGGAUAAAUUUAGACCAAGAGCCUUCAAAGCUCUAAGUAGGGGUGAAAGCCCCCUAAUCCCUG